AGGCGUCCUGGGUGCACAGGCGGAUGUCACAGGCGGUGAUCAGGUCGACUCCUGAAGAAACACAGAUCUGCAUUUACAGCAAAUAUUACAGAGAAACUGAAACAAACCGACCAAUCCUGUUAGGCGCCAAACAGUGGGGCGUGGACGGCCUCUUACCUCCACCGAUGCAGCCGCCGUGGACGGCCGCCACCACAGGCUUUGGACACUGAAACAGAACCAGCGUCAGCGUCGAGCGAACAGUCGAGUCUGCGCAGCUUUAAGGACUCUGACCUUCUCGAUGACGGAGAACGUCUCUUGGUACUUGGUGAUCAACUUCCUGACGUUCCAGGAGACUCUGGCGGUGUCGUCUCCUUCUGGGUGGAGCAUGUCGCUCGCCAUGUCCAUCAGGUCCAGGCCUGUCGUCCACACAGCAGAACAUGAAGCUCCUGAGAUCAGAGCAGUGAAAGCCAGCGAGUCCCACCUGCAGUGAAGAGCUUUCCAGAUCCAGAGAACACCACCACCCUGCAGACCGGGUCGUCUGCGAUCUCAUUAAAGCACUCCACCAUCUCCCUGCAACAGAACCAGAACUUUCCUCAGAGACCCGGACCCGCCUCUGAACCAUUCAGGACCACGAGGCUCGCACCUCCAGAAGGCUUUGUUCAUGGCGUUGCGUUUCUCUGGUCGGUGUAGCUCCACGUGUGUGACGAACUCUGUGGGCCGGCUGACAGCCAGGGUGGUGAAGGGGGGCGUGGCUCCACCUGCAGACGCCAUGGUUCUGAUCGCAACCUGAGUGGGCCGCCACAACCGCCCAGCUGAGCAAAGAAACAGAAAAAUAAAGAUGUUCCUGAAUUAAAAAAAACAUUGAUAUUGUUCACGGA